rnacentral:rRNA from 1 species
GAUGAACGCUGGCGGCGUGCCUAAUACAUGCAAGUCGAGCGAACGGACGAGAAGCUUGCUUCUCUGAUGUUAGCGGCGGACGGGUGAGUAACACGUGGAUAACCUACCUAUAAGACUGGGAUAACCUCGGGAAACCGGAGCUAAUACCGGAUGAUAUUUUGAACCGCAUGGUUCAAAAGUGAAAGACGGUCUUGCUGUCACUUAUAGAUGGAACCGCGCUGCAUUAGCUAGUUGGUAAGGUAACGGCUUACCAAGGCAACGAUGCAUAGCCGACCUGAGAGGGUGAUCGGCCACACUGGAACUGAGACACGGUCCAGACUCCUACGGGAGGCAGCAGUAGGGAAUCUUCCGCAAAGGGCGAAAGCCUGACGGAGCAACGCCGCGUGAGUGAUGAAGGUCUUCGGAUCGUAAAACUCUGUUAUUAGGGAAGAACAUAUGUGUAAGUAACUGUGCACAUCUUGACGGUACCUAAUCAGAAAGCCACGGCUAACUACGUG